CCUUUUUCUACUUUCUUGUAGUUGCUAGAAACCGUUGGUAUUCCUUGGCUUGUAGGUGCAUCACUCCAAUAUCUGCCUCUAUUGUCACCUGGCAUUAUCUCUGUGUGUCUCUGUGUUCAAAUUUCCCUCUUCUUAUAAAGACGCUAGUCAUUGGGUUAGGGCCCAUUGUAAUCCAGGAUGGCCUCAUUAAUUUGAUUACACCUGCAAAGACCCUAUUUACAAAUGAGGUCAUAUUCAGAGAUACUAGGAGUCAGAAGUUUAACAUAUCUUUUUGGGGAUACAAUUCAACAAUUUUAACGCUUGCUGUAGCUUUAAAUGGAAGGGGUUUCAAAGUUCUUAGGAGUCCUUGUUUUUGUCUUCCCAGGUAUCUCUUGUUUUCUCUAACACCUCCUCUUAAAUAGAGACUGACCCUUGCAGCUCUUUCAGCUGUUAUCCAUUGUUAAUACGCUUGAGCCCUGGUGAUGCAGUGGGAAGAAGUGGGAGAGGAAAAACCUUCUAUGAUAUUAUGAUUACGUUUUAGUGUUUUAGUAAGUCUUUGUCUCUGAACUGCAACCUUCACAAGUGUUUCUUCAUCCUCUCCUGUCUUACACUUGAAAAAGGAAGCCUAGAAGAAGCUGGAGCCUGGGACAUACCUUUCCACCAGCUGAUAUAAGGCUCUUUUUUGCCGGAAGGGCUUUGUUAUAGAGAACACUCCCAGCAUAUUUCAAAAUGGCUACUUUCCUCUUUUCCUGCCAGAGGGAUGAGCUUCAGGUUAUGCCUAAGAGUUCCAGCUUGUCUUUGCUGACGAUCUGCCCUAGAGAUCUCAGACUUGCGUAGACGGACCACGCAAUUAUCUUAGCCAGACCCAGCCCUGCAGUCGCCUUGAAAACCAGCAGCCAGGAAGCCAGUGAAGAGAGAAGAAUGGUGUUGGAGCCCCUUCAAAGCCCCAUCCCCAGAAAACUAUCGUUAUUUUACAUGUCUCUCAGCACCUGUAUACCUUCACCCUCAAUGAUAUGGAUGUUCUACGGGAGAGGAUGAUGCCCUUCUUCAUGAAGCAAAACCUACACCUGGUCCAGGAGUUGGUCAACCUUAAGGAAGAACUCCAUCAGGGGCUAGAAGAGAUUCAGCUCUAGUUGCUGCCUUACACUAAUGGCAGGAGAGAAAAUUAUGUGAUGAGCAACAAUGUCUCAUGCUCUGCACUGUCUUUUAAGAACAAAGAAAAUAUGUCUGCUGCCUCACUUCCAUCGUCUACAUCUCAAAAAAAGUAUCCCUUUGGCCCAGAAUAAUAAGGACUAUGCAGGGAAAGGAAUUCUGGGAAAUGUAGCUGAAUUAACCCAACACAAAUCUACAAUAGUAUCCAGAACAUUUAAUACCAUUAUGAUACUAGUGUUGGCUAUUCGCAGUAGAUAGGACUCAUAGAGUUGAAAUAGUGUCCUGGAGACCACCUCUUUUACCUGGAUUGAGG
rnacentral:lncRNA from 1 species